rnacentral:rRNA from 1 species
UACGGGGGGGAGCAAGCGUUGUUCGGAUUUACUGGGCGUAAAGGGCGCGUAGGCGGCCACCGCAAGUCGACUGUGAAAUCUCCGGGCUUAACCCGGAAAGGUCAGCCGAUACUGCGGGGCUAGAGUGCAGAAGGGGCAACUGGAAUUCUCGGUGUAGCGGUGAAAUGCGUAGAUAUCGAGAGGAACACCUGCGGCGAAGGCGGGUUGCUGGGCUGACACUGACGCUGAGGCGCGAAAGCUAGGGGGAGCGAACGGG